AGUUAUUAAUAUCUUCAGUGCGUCUUGACUUGAUCGAGGGAAAAAAGGUGUUUUUAGUAAUAAAAAAAAUGAAUUCAGCCUAUCCCCCUUAAUUCUAUAAAUUCUCCCCUCAAAUAAGAAAUAAGCAGUUUUGAUUUCUUUAUAGUGAUAGUAGUGGUGAUUUCUAAAACUAUUCCAAAUUUUAAGUAUCUACGUCAUACGGUCUCUGAGAAAAACGCAUUUAACCGAUUUGCAAGACCGAAGUGAUUCCAUAACAGCUCCGUCACCAAUGUUUUGUACAUACGAAGCUCUAAAAAUGUAAUUUUAUUGAGAUUUUAAAAUAAAAUUUGACGAUUCCUGCAGUAAUGCAUUCGGCAGCAUUACUGCAGCAGUAAGACUGAUGCAGUCUGAAUCCGAACUUACCUUUACAUUUCUCAUAAAGGUGACAGUCCAUUUCUGACCGCAGCUGCACUACUGCUCCGACAUUACUGCAGCGGCCUGAUCGUGUCGGUGUUAUUGUCAAUUUUCAUAGUAAAAUCAAUGACGGUACCGACUGCACGUAAUAUGGUAAUUUUAACGUAUUUCCGACCGCAGCUGCACUACUGCUCCGACAUUACUGCAGCGGCCUGAAUACGUCAGUGUUAUUGUCAAAUUCCAUAGUAAAAUGAUGACAAGACCGACUGCACGUAGCAUGGUGAUUUUUAGUGUUUGGUGUACAUACGACCGCAACUGCAAACCGCACGUCAAAUCUUUACAGAAAUGUCUUUGGUCACAGAUAUUAGUAGCUCUAAGCAAAGAGGAUAUAACCACUACAAUAUAAGGAGUUUAUUACACCCGUGGAUAAACAACCCCGAUAGUUUCUGUGUUUCGCGGUAGUUCCUCUGUAUCUUGGCGUUGCUCUUAUUGUUUUUGUUUAAUGUUUCCUGAUAAAUUCAUUAAAUAAACAGUUCUUUCCUUUUUUCGUAGUUUUCCGAGAACAGCUAUAAGCUCGAAAGGGCAAGAACGAUAGAGAGCCAAAUAUACGAUUUUCAAAUUAAGAUUUUCAUGGUAGGCAAUAAGUAGAUAGUAGCUAUGUAUGUAUGUAUAUAUAAAUUAUUUACAAACUAAUAAUAGUGAAAAAAACUGGAAAACUAGUUCGCCUUUGUAUUAAUGAUGAGUGUUUUUUUCCUGUUUUGUGUUCAUUUUUGUACAAUAAAAAGUUUUACUACUACUACUACUAAAUUACAGGACGCACUUAUGUGUUAGAAUAAGAUCGAUGUAGGUAUGCUAACCAUUAUCGUACAAUCAUGUACACAUAGCAUAAAAAUGUAACAACAUAAUAUUUCUAUGAUGAUUCUAAUACUGAACGGAGUGGUCGUAUGCAAUUUCCUCUCUCUUUCCUCUUUCUCUCUUUUUCCAAAUUUUGACUGAGAAAAUGUUUCGAAUGAAAUGGCUUACUCUGUAUCCUCUGUAUUUGUGUUAGGAUACUACGAAACCACAGUAGAUUACAUUUUUUAGUGGCAACAAUGGUCGCGCACUGUGCGGCUUAUGAGGAAUUUCCUCCCGCGGGCGCUCCGGCUUUAGUAUGAGCUCCUUGCCGAGGUUUUUCUGAAGGUCUACAGUAGGGGUUCUUGAAAAAAGAAGUGUACAGGUUUUUAAAGGGUCGGCAACGCGCAUGUAUCACUUCUGGAGUUGGAGGCGUGCUUAGGAGUUUCAGUGAUGCUUAUAUUUAACAGGAUUAAUUACUGAAUUCUCGCUGACAGUACCGUACGUGAAUUUGGCGUGAUAAAAUGUGAAAGUGUCGUAAUAUCAUAUUAUAUACACCGUGGGUUGGUAAAAUCCGACAGAUCUUAAACGCAUUCCUGAGGAUCAAAAUGUUUAGUAAAAUUCGGAAAAAAAAUGUUCUGUUUUUUCUUUUAGCCGAUUUAAAAGCUAUUUUCUGCAUACAGCACGUUAUUUCUUUCUACAUCUUGGCGAAAAAAAAACAUUACAACGAAGAAGUAAAGUUUUCUUAAUUCAUAUAUAGAUCAAAAUUGCGAGUGUUCUUUUUAGUUGAGUAAUGUUUGUCAGAAGGUAUGACUAAACCAAGUCACAUAGAGGCAGCGCCGCAGAGAAAAAGGCGUUUUUCACAAAGUUAUUGCAGAAACAAAUUAUCGCUAAAAUUGCCAUUAUCUCUGAAAGAAGACCGAUUACAGAAAAUUUGUAUGAUAUUUUAGCCUCUAAAUGCGAUUAAGAAUACAACUUUAAAUCUAUCAGGUUUUACCAGCCCACGGUGUAUAAUAUCGUGACACUUUCUCACUUUGUCAUUUCAAAGCCAUUUCUGAGAUAAAGGAAGCAAUAAUUCAGUUGUAUUACCUAGAAAUACAAAAGGCAAAGUUGUUGUUUAACACCUCAUGGUAGCAUAUGGAUACUCAAACGUAAGAAAAAUUACAAUAUUGAACCACAAGAGAAGCGACAGCGGUUUUAAAAUAAAAUUGUAUUGACAGUCGCGGGGACUUCAAGGCAUGAGGGUUAAACAAACUUUGCUACAGAGCGCAACACGAAUUUAUUUUAUCACACCAUCACGAGGAAAAUAUUUAUUAUUCCAAUUAAUUUAUUAAAUAUUCUUUCUAUCAGCCCCUUGGCUAACGUAAAUAGCUUUCUUCAUAAAGGAUUUCUUGUCUCGCCCAUCAAGUUUUAUAUGGUCUAGUCAUAAACUGUAUCUGCCACGACCACGAGUGCCGUCGCCCAUGGACACCUGCAACACAAGAGCGAUUAUAAGAUUUAAAUUUGUGCUUUAGUUUGAAAUAGGAAACUGGACAAUAUUAAGUGUAAAUUGCGUAAUUAUAGCUCUUACAAAUCAAUUUAUUCCUUUAUUCUUUACUUUUAGGUAACUAAUGAAAGAUUGGUUUAAUAUGAAAACUCAGAAAGAUAAUCUGUAAUAUUUUGCUAACACUGAACGACUGCAUUUGAGAAUUUAUUAUUUUGUCGCAUCGCCAUCUCCGAAACCCACGAAUCCCUUUGCAAAAAUAAAGUAAACCCGGGAUAAAAGAGCCUACCUAGCUUUUUGAGGGGACGUUUAUCGCAGACUUCUACAUCCAGGCGGUACUUGGCCACCAAAAACGUGCAGACACCACCGGCUGGAUUUGGCUGGAUCACGUGAUGCAAGUGGAUCAAGUGCGCAUACCUAAUGUCGCACCAGUAAUGUCGCAACGGUAGUGCAGCUGCAGUUGGAAAUGGACUGUCACCUUAAAGAAAACAAGUCUUCAAAUAUCCUUUAGGUUAUGAUAAAUUGUAAUGGCACAAAAAACACGUAACUAAGAUUAUCCGUGAUAUUAAAAACGAACAUUACUAUAUGUGUCACUAUAACAUUUGAGGAGUUUCCUAAAAAACACUUAAAGAAAUCAACAAAAUUGAAAACCACCUGCUUCCGGAAUUCCGAAUUUUGAUAAACAAUAUCAGAGGAUGAAAACUGAAAAAUAUUUUCCUUUUUUUAUACAAUUUUGGCACUUUCUAAUGUUACGCUUAUAACUUUCAUAGCUCAUUGUACCUUGGUUUCUUAACUUUGUUUUCUUCAAUGACUAUUAUUAACUCAUUAAAAAUUAAUAUUAAUGACUUAAUACUGAUACAAAUUCGUAAAUGUAAUCUGAUUGCACCUAUAAGAGAAGUUUUCAGUUACAGAACAUUUAUUAUACUGUAUUUGUUUGUGGAUUAUAUCUGCUACCUUUCGUCAAAACCCUAAGAGCAGCUUCGUUUUAUGCAAAAAAAACUGAAAAGAAAUUAAGACAUAAAUCUUAAAGAUAAUCUAAAUACAAGUCACGUAAUUUGUCGCUUAUAGAUCAAGUGGGCCCAGAAGAACUGAGUUACAAUAUUAAUAUUCUUUAUUGCUCACCAAUAUGAAAAUAACAUAAUGACAUACAUAUUAAACACACAACUUAGACUAUGGUAGACAACGGGCGGUCUUAUCGCUAAAGAGUGAUUUCUUCCAGACAACCUUAGGGUAGUGGAGACAAGGUAAAAAACAAGUAAUG